GGGUUGUGAGGUUAAGCGACUAAGCGUACACGGUGGAUGCCCUGGCAGUCAGAGGCGAUGAAGGGCGUGCUAAUCUGCGAUAAGCGCCGGUAAGGUGAUAUGAACCGUUAUAACCGGCGAUACCCGAAUGGGGAAACCCAGUGUGAUUCGUCACACUAUCAUUAACUGAAUCCAUAGGUUAAUGAGGCGAACCGGGGGAACUGAAACAUCUAAGUACCCCGAGGAAAAGAAAUCAACCGAGAUUCCCCCAGUAGCGGCGAGCGAACGGGGAGGAGCCCAGAGCCUGAAUCAGCAUGUGUGUUAGUGGAAGCGUCUGGAAAGGCGCGCGAUACAGGGUGACAGCCCCGUACACAAAAGCGCAUGUGCUGUGAGCUCGAUGAGUAGGGCGGGACACGUGGUAUCCUGUCUGAAUAUGGGGGGACCAUCCUCCAAGGCUAAAUACUCCUGACUGACCGAUAGUGAACCAGUACCGUGAGGGAAAGGCGAAAAGAACCCCGGCGAGGGGAGUGAAAAAGAACCUGAAACCGUGUACGUACAAGCAGUGGGAGCACAGGUUUACCUGUGUGACUGCGUACCUUUUGUAUAAUGGGUCAGCGACUUAUAUUCUGUAGCAAGGUUAACCGUAUAGGGGAGCCGGAGGGAAACCGAGUCUUAACCGGGCGUUAAGUUGCAGGGUAUAGACCCGAAACCCGGUGAUCUAGCCAUGGGCAGGUUGAAGGUUGGGUAACACUAACUGGAGGACCGAACCGACUAAUGUUGAAAAAUUAGCGGAUGACCUGUGGCUGGGGGUGAAAGGCCAAUCAAACCGGGAGAUAGCUGGUUCUCCCCGAAAGCUAUUUAGGUAGCGCCUCGUGAAUUCAUCUCCGGGGGUAGAGCACUGUUUCGGCUAGGGGGCCAUCCCGGCUUACCAACCCGAUGCAAACUGCGAAUACCGGAGAAUGUUAUCACGGGAGACACACGGCGGGUGCUAACGUCCGUCGUGAAGAGGGAAACAACCCAGACCGCCAGCUAAGGUCCCAAAGUCAUGGUUAAGUGGGAAACGAUGUGGGAAGGCCCAGACAGCCAGGAUGUUGGCUUAGAAGCAGCCAUCAUUUAAAGAAAGCGUAAUAGCUCACUGGUCGAGUCGGCCUGCGCGGAAGAUGUAACGGGGCUAAACCAUGCACCGAAGCUGCGGCAGCGACACUUAUGUGUUGUUGGGUAGGGGAGCGUUCUGUAAGCCUGUGAAGGUGUGUCGUGAGGCAUGCUGGAGGUAUCAGAAGUGCGAAUGCUGACAUAAGUAACGAUAAAGCGGGUGAAAAGCCCGCUCGCCGGAAGACCAAGGGUUCCUGUCCAACGUUAAUCGGGGCAGGGUGAGUCGACCCCUAAGGCGAGGCCGAAAGGCGUAGUCGAUGGGAAACGGGUUAAUAUUCCCGUACUUGGUGUUACUGCGAAGGGGGGACGGAGAAGGCUAUGUUGGCCGGGCGACGGUUGUCCCGGUUUAAGCGUGUAGGCUGGUUUUCCAGGCAAAUCCGGAAAAUCAAGGCUGAGGCGUGACGACGAGGCACUACGGUGCUGAAGCAACAAAUGCCCUGCUUCCAGGAAAAGCCUCUAAGCAUCAGGUAACAUCAAAUCGUACCCCAAACCGACACAGGUGGUCAGGUAGAGAAUACCAAGGCGCUUGAGAGAACUCGGGUGAAGGAACUAGGCAAAAUGGUGCCGUAACUUCGGGAGAAGGCACGCUGACACGUAGGUGAAGUGAUUUACUCAUGGAGCUGAAGUCAGUCGAAGAUACCAGCUGGCUGCAACUGUUUAUUAAAAACACAGCACUGUGCAAACACGAAAGUGGACGUAUACGGUGUGACGCCUGCCCGGUGCCGGAAGGUUAAUUGAUGGGGUCAGCGCAAGCGAAGCUCCUGAUCGAAGCCCCGGUAAACGGCGGCCGUAACUAUAACGGUCCUAAGGUAGCGAAAUUCCUUGUCGGGUAAGUUCCGACCUGCACGAAUGGCGUAAUGAUGGCCAGGCUGUCUCCACCCGAGACUCAGUGAAAUUGAACUCGCUGUGAAGAUGCAGUGUACCCGCGGCAAGACGGAAAGACCCCGUGAACCUUUACUAUAGCUUGACACUGAACAUUGAGCCUUGAUGUGUAGGAUAGGUGGGAGGCUUUGAAGCGUGGACGCCAGUCUGCGUGGAGCCGACCUUGAAAUACCACCCUUUAAUGUUUGAUGUUCUAACGUGGACCCGUAAUCCGGGUUGCGGACAGUGUCUGGUGGGUAGUUUGACUGGGGCGGUCUCCUCCUAAAGAGUAACGGAGGAGCACGAAGGUUGGCUAAUCCUGGUCGGACAUCAGGAGGUUAGUGCAAUGGCAUAAGCCAGCUUGACUGCGAGCGUGACGGCGCGAGCAGGUGCGAAAGCAGGUCAUAGUGAUCCGGUGGUUCUGAAUGGAAGGGCCAUCGCUCAACGGAUAAAAGGUACUCCGGGGAUAACAGGCUGAUACCGCCCAAGAGUUCAUAUCGACGGCGGUGUUUGGCACCUCGAUGUCGGCUCAUCACAUCCUGGGGCUGAAGUAGGUCCCAAGGGUAUGGCUGUUCGCCAUUUAAAGUGGUACGCGAGCUGGGUUUAGAACGUCGUGAGACAGUUCGGUCCCUAUCUGCCGUGGGCGCUGGAGAACUGAGGGGGGCUGCUCCUAGUACGAGAGGACCGGAGUGGACGCAUCACUGGUGUUCGGGUUGUCAUGCCAAUGGCACUGCCCGGUAGCUAAAUGCGGAAGAGAUAAGUGCUGAAAGCAUCUAAGCACGAAACUUGCCCCGAGAUGAGUUCUCCCUGAGACUU
rnacentral:rRNA from 1 species